AGCAGUAGCCGCGGUAAUACAGAGGGUGCAAGCGUUAAUCGGAAUUACUGGGCGUAAAGCGCACGCAGGCGGUUUGUUAAGUCAGAUGUGAAAUCCCCGAGCUUAACUUGGGAACUGCAUUUGAAACUGGCAAGCUAGAGUCUUGUAGAGGGGGGUAGAAUUCCAGGUGUAGCGGUGAAAUGCGUAGAGAUCUGGAGGAAUACCGGUGGCGAAGGCGGCCCCCUGGUCGAAGACUGACGCUCAGGUGCGAAAGCGUGGGGAUCAAACAGGAUUAGAGACCCGCGUAGUCCCUGUCUCUUAUAC
rnacentral:rRNA from 1 species